CUGAGCCUUGGCUUAAUGCCAUGAAGGCUGAAGUUGAUUCCUUGAAUAGGAACCAAACUUGGGAACUGGUACCGGUAGUCCCAGGAAUGAGACUGGUUGGCAGCAAAUGGGUCUUCAAGGCCAAGACAGACCAGAAUGGCAAGGUUGUCAGACACAAAGCCAGAUUGGUUGCCAGAGGUUUUUCACAGGUACCAGGACAGGAUUACCACGAGACCUACUCACCCACCAUCAAAUAUGAGAGCAUUCGGCUGAUGCUCAAGAUAGCUGCAGAGGAGAAACUGCAUGUUUCCCAUCAUGACAUUAAUACAGCUUUUUUGUACGGGAUUUUGGGGGAGGAGCUGUUUAUGCUUCCACAUGAUGGAAUGCAGAUACAGAAGGGAAUGGUCUGUAAACUGCGGAAAUCCUUAUAUGGUCUCAAGCAGAGUGCCAGGUGUUGGAACACAAAGCUCACUGAGACGUUGCUUUCUCUAGGUUUUCACCAGGGCAAAGCUGAUCCGUGUGUGUUUGUCAAGGAGGAGGGCAAAACAAACUGUAUUGUUUAUGUUUUGUUGAUGAUCUUCUGAUGUUUUGGAAGAAUCAGGCUUUGUACCAAAGCACCCUAGCUCAGCUGAAGGAGCACUUUGACAUGAAGGAUCUUGGUGAGGUAUCCAACUAUCUUUCUCUGCAGGUGGAGAGGGACCAAGCAGGUAAUUUUCUGGUACACCAAACACAGAAAAUUGCUGAUGUAUUAACCAGGUUGAAUUUGGUUGAUGCAAACCCAGCAGACAC